GUCGAGCGAAUGGAUUGAGAGCUUGCUCUCAAGAAGUUAGCGGCGGACGGGUGAGUAACACGUGGGUAACCUGCCCAUAAGACUGGGAUAACUCCGGGAAACCGGGGCUAAUACCGGAUAACAUUUUGAACUGCAUGGUUCGAAAUUGAAAGGCGGCUUCGGCUGUCACUUAUGGAUGGACCCGCGUCGCAUUAGCUAGUUGGUGAGGUAACGGCUCACCAAGGCAACGAUGCGUAGCCGACCUGAGAGGGUGAUCGGCCACACUGGGACUGAGACACGGCCCAGACUCCUACGGGAGGCAGCAGUAGGGAAUCUUCCGCAAUGGACGAAAGUCUGACGGAGCAACGCCGCGUGAGUGAUGAAGGCUUUCGGGUCGUAAAACUCUGUUGUUAGGGAAGAACAAGUGCUAGUUGAAUAAGCUGGCACCUUGACGGUACCUAACCAGAAAGCCACGGCUAACUACGUGCCAGCAGCCGCGGUAAUACGUAGGUGGCAAGCGUUAUCCGGAAUUAUUGGGCGUAAAGCGCGCGCAGGUGGUUUCUUAAGUCUGAUGUGAAAGCCCACGGCUCAACCGUGGAGGGUCAUUGGAAACUGGGAGACUUGAGUGCAGAAGAGGAAAGUGGAAUUCCAUGUGUAGCGGUGAAAUGCGUAGAGAUAUGGAGGAACACCAGUGGCGAAGGCGACUUUCUGGUCUGUAACUGACACUGAGGCGCGAAAGCGUGGGGGAGCAAA
rnacentral:rRNA from 1 species